rnacentral:rRNA from 1 species
GAUGAGCGCUGGCGGCGUGCCUAAUACAUGCAAGUCGAGCGAACAGACGAGGAGCUUGCUCCUCUGACGUUAGCGGCGGACGGGUGAGUAACACGUGGAUAACCUACCUACAAGACUGGGAUAGAUUAGGGAAACCGGAGCCAAUACCGGAUAAUAUAUUGAACCGCAUGGUUCAAUAGUGAAAGACGGUUUUGCUGUCACUUAUAGAUGGAUCCGCGCCGCAUUAGCUAGUUGGUAAGGUAACGGCUUACCAAGGCAACGAUGCGUAGCCGACCUGAGAGGGUGAUCGGCCACACUGGAACUGAGACACGGUCCAGACUCCUACGGGAGGCAGCAGUAGGGAAUCUUCCGCAAUGGGCGAAAGCCUGACGGAGCAACGCCGCGUGGGUGAUGAAGGUCUUCGGAUCGUAAAACUCUGUUAUUGGGGAAGAACAAAUGUGUAAGUAACUAUGCACGUCUUGACGGUACCUAAUCAGAAAGCCACGGCUAACUACGUG